rnacentral:rRNA from 1 species
CAGCUUGGGGCCGAGAGACUCAACGGGUACGUCCGGGGUAGGAGUGAAAUCCUGUAAUCCUGGACGGACCACCAAUGGGGAAACCACGUUGAGAGACCGGACCCGACAGUGAGGGACGAAAGCCAGGGUCUCGAACCGGAUUAGAUACCCGGGUAGUCCUGGCUGUAAACAAUGCUCGCUAGGUAUGUCACGCGCCAUGAGCACGUGAUGUGCCGUAGUGAAGACGAUAAGCGAGCCGCCUGGGAAGUACGUCUGCAAGGAUGAAACUUAAAGGAAUUGGCGGGGGAGCACCACAACCGGAGGAGCCUGCGGUUUAAUUGGACUCAACGCCGGAAAUCUCACCGGUCCCGACAGUAGUAAUGACAGUCAGGUUGACGACUUUACUCGACGCUACUGAGAGGAGGUGCAUGGCCGCCGUCAGCUCGUACCGUGAGGCGUCCUGUUAAGUCAGGCAACGAGCGAGACCCACACUUCUAGUUGCCAGCAACACCCCUGCGGUGGUUGGGUACACUAGGAGGACUGCCAUUGCUAAAAUGGAGGAAGGAAUGGGCAACGGUAGGUCAGUAUGCCCCGAAUGGACCGGGCAACACGCGGGCUACAAUGGCUAUGACAGUGGGAUGCAACGCCGAGAGGCGACGCUAAUCUCCAAACGUAGUCGUAGUUCGGAUUGCGGGCUGAAACCCGCCCGCAUGAAGCUGGAUUCGGUAGUAAUCGCGUGUCAGAAGCGCGCGGUGAAUACGUCCCUGCUCCUUGCACACACCGCCCGUCAAAGCACCCGAGUGGGGUCCGGAUGAGGCCGUCAUGCGACGGUCGAAUCUG